GGUUAAGCGACUAAGCGUACACGGUGGAUGCCCUGGCAGUCAGAGGCGAUGAAGGACGUGCUAAUCUGCGAUAAGCGUCGGUAAGGUGAUAUGAACCGUUAUAACCGGCGAUUUCCGAAUGGGGAAACCCAGUGUGAUUCGUCACACUAUCAUUAACUGAAUCCAUAGGUUAAUGAGGCGAACCGGGGGAACUGAAACAUCUAAGUACCCCGAGGAAAAGAAAUCAACCGAGAUUCCCCCAGUAGCGGCGAGCGAACGGGGAGCAGCCCAGAGC
rnacentral:rRNA from 1 species